ACGGAAGUCACAACCCUACACCGUUACUUACUUACUACACGGGGUUAGUCGUAAUACGGAUUAGAACGGGCCACCUGGUACCACUAGACAAGCCCGAAUCGUCGUAGUCUUCCUUUUUACGGCUCAAAGGCUAUAUUUUCCAUGCAACGACUGCCGAGCGACGAUCGGUCUUCUGGAUAUUGGGAUUUAUUCAAAUCCGGAUUCGACAGUUCCUCAGGUGAACAGCUGACGUGACUCACGGGUUCCCUCUUACUUAUAAAUAUAUCUAUAUUCAUCUACACCAAGAGUAGCAGCAGCAGCAGCAGCAGCAACAGCAGCAGCAGCAACUUUGCGUUGACUGAAAUCCACCUGGCUACUAAAUACAUCGGCUGCUGCAGCACCGCAGGAACCUGCAGUGCGGUAGCAGCAGCGAGUGCAUCGGUGGAAUCGAAUGAAGCACAUGCGGCAGUAAGCACAUCGGAACGUCGAUAUUUCAAAGAAUAUUAUCUAACCACCCCCGCAAAGCGGCGGAUACGAGAAUUAUGAAAAGUUCAACGAACGCCGAGUGCAAAAGAACGAAGGUCUCCGGUAUACGCUGUGAUUUUUUGGCCAAAAACGAACGAAACAAUUUUCGUCUUUCCGUAGGUUUUAAAAAUAUACACCCGGACGGAGUAAAUGUUUCGAGGUUUUGGUAGUUUCUUUUUUCAAUUCCCCCAAUUUUCUUUUUUUUUUCUCACCAAAACUCCCCCGCUUGAGGAAGAAACACGUGCGUCAUGUGCACUUAUGUAUGUAUAUAAUAUAUAUAUACGUGCACGUGAUUACUACGUAUACAGGAAAAAAAAAUCUUUUGCACCGCACGUGUCAAAUCGUCGGAAUAACAUUCUUGAGAGUAAUGAGAGAAAAAAAGGAAGGGAGGAAAUUGUUUCUCGAAAAACACGCCUCUGAGAUUAUUACCAGGAUUUAUUUGGUCUGCGACUCCUGCAAGGAAGCUCAACCCCUUAUAAUCCGGCUUUUCGACACCGGAAGUUUCGUGUUCCAGACACUUUUUUUUUUCUUUCUUUUUUUUUUCUUCUUCUUCAAACCAUCAGCUGAAUAUACACAAUGCUGCUACACCCUUUUCCGGACUGUAAGGGAUGAGCACGAUAUUGACCCAACCCGAUUACCAGAAGAGAUAAAAAAAAGUGUCUUAUACAAUCAAUUUUUAUUUAUAUAUACUUUUAUUCCCGAUAAAAAAAAAUUAAUAUUUCCAAUCGUAUUAGUGGGAAUCUCGAAUGAAAAAAAAAGUUUAGAUAACAAAAUAAAAAGUUUUACGGUAGUCAUCGUCUACUGUGCUUAAAACGUCCAGUGUUCUCUCGUACGUCCGCAUGUGAGCGACAAAAAGACGUAUGACGUAUGACGUAACAUUUCCCUCUCACGUGGUUUCAUUCGCGAAUGCUACAGAUACAUUCAUGCGCGUACCUACGUACGUACGUACGUACGUAGUAUUAUACGUACUUCAUAAUACCUUUCAAACCAGUGCAGAAUAAUAGCGUGUCCGUCGUCAGAAUGUCUGCAGGGU